rnacentral:rRNA from 1 species
GGCAGCAGCUAAGAAUAUUCCGCAAUGGACGAAAGUCUGACGGAGCGACGCCGCGUGGAUGAUGAAGGCCGGAAGGUUGUAAAAUCCUUUAGCAAGUGAGGAAUAAGCAGAGCAGGGAAUGGCUCUGUGGUGACUGUAGCUUGAGAAUAAGCAUCGGCUAAUUACGUGCCAGCAGCCGCGGUAACACGUAAGAUGCUAGCGUUGUUCGGAAUUAUUGGGCGUAAAGGGCAUGUAGGCGGUUAUUCAAGUCUGGUGUGAAAUCUCGGAGCUUAACUCCGAAACUGCAUUGGAAACUAGAUAACUAGAAUUGCUGAGGGGAAGCCGGAAUUCCAGGUGUAGGGGUGAAAUCUGUAGAGAUCUGGAAGAACACCAAUGGCGAAGGCAGGCUUCUAGCAGAUAAUUGACGCUGAGGUGCGAAGGGACGGGGAGCAAACAGGAUUAGAUACCCUGGUAGUCCGUCCAGUAAACUAUGUACACUAGAUGUCCGGGCAGGAGCUCGGGUGUCGCAGCAAACGCUUUAAGUGUACCGCCUGGGAAGUAUGCCCGCAAGGGUGAAACUCAAAGGAAUUGACGG